rnacentral:rRNA from 1 species
UUCCUACGGGGGGCAGCAGUGGGGAAUUUUGGACAAUGGGCGCAAGCCUGAUCCAGCCAUGCCGCGUGCAGGAAGAAGGCCCUCGGGUUGUAAACUGCUUUUGUACGGAACGAAAAAGCUCUGGCUAAUACCUGGAGCUGAUGACGGUACCGUAAGAAUAAGCACCGGCUAACUACGUGCCAGCAGCCGCGGUAAUACGUAGGGUGCGAGCGUUAAUCGGAAUUACUGGGCGUAAAGCGUGCGCAGGCGGUUUUGUAAGACAGGGGUGAAAUCCCCGGGCUCAACCUGGGAACUGCCUUUGUGACUGCAAGGCUGGAGUGCGGCAGAGGGGGAUGGAAUUCCGCGUGUAGCAGUGAAAUGCGUAGAUAUGCGGAGGAACACCGAUGGCGAAGGCAAUCCCCUGGGCCUGCACUGACGCUCAUGCACGAAAGCGUGGGGAGCAAACAGGAUUAGAUACCCGAGUAGUC